rnacentral:antisense_RNA from 1 species
GGAAGAAGGAAUCAGGAGGCAGAGCACAUGGUUAAAGCAUGAGAUGUGAAACCAGGAAGAACCAGGUCUGAAUCUUAGCUCCACCAGUGGUAGCUCCAAACCUUAGUCCUUUCUGAGCCUGCUUCUUCAACCCUAAGGUGUGAUUACAUUGAGCAGUAACAGCAAAACCUGAAAGAGAAUGGAUACAGGUGUUCAUUUCAGAUGGUACAAGUUUAACAAGGUACAAGAGCAACUUAAGGAAUUCGGAAACGGGACCCAGAAAGUUGUUUCCUGCAAGUGGCUGGAACAACACAAGCAAUAAGUAUCCUGAAACAGGCCCUGUUCCAACAAACUGACCCAGAAAGAGGUUACACCAAUUAUCUCUCCAGCAAGUAUGAGGAAUCCUGUUUCCCUACGUUCUCACUACGACAGCAGGAUAUCAAACAUUGAUAUCCACCAAUCUCUGGAUGGAAAAACAAAUCUCAGGAAUCGCUUGCAGGAGGCUCUGCACGUUCCUCAGAUUCAGAGUCGCUGUCCUUUUGCCUGUGAAGCUCCUCACUUUCAGAGUCACUAGCAUUAAGAUUUAAGGGCUCAUCAUUCUCAGAGUCUGUCACAUGAUGUCCUUUGGGGAGGCCAUCUUCUCGAUCACUAGUUUCAUU